AGAUUUAAAAAUUUCCGCGAGCA
rnacentral:tRNA from 4 species